GGUAAAGGGGUAAGUACCUUGCUUACUUUUUCGGUUCUUCUUCCACAGAAGGUGAAUAAAGCACACAGGUAGAAGAAACCCUGCCAGUGAAGAAAUGAUGAUGACUAUCAGCUUCUUUUUGCCAUAAUGGUCCCUUCUAUGACCUGCACAACAAAUUUUUGGUAUUAGGACUUCCACUUAGGGUACAUUUCUUAUGAUAUGGAAUUUAAGUUAUAUAUUUUGUUCUGCAUUAACCUAUCAUAUAAAUGUGUUUGGUAACAUGUAUGUUCGAACUGGUAUACUAGGUAUAUUUCCACUUUGUCAUCAGAACAUGUUCCUACAUUCAGCGUACUGAGAGUCACAAACUUAACAGAACUAUAUCACCUAGUCACAUUCACCUUAAACCAUAUAAAGUAAGUAUUAUGGUUAUUUUGACAAAACCAACAAGAUAUGUUCGGAGGUCUAUGAUAAUCCUUUUAGUUAUCUACCUCCCUUUCAACCCAACAGUCAUAUCCAGCUGCCAGAAAGUUCCAAAUGUAGUCAAUAUAUGUACUGCUAUAUUCCUAACCUAACUCGCACCUUUUCCUUGCCCUCUCAGGAAAUAAUCGUUACCUAAUUCAGAAGAUGCAAGCCGAAUGUAUAGAUUCUCCCCUCCUUCGGUGAACACUCUGAUAUCUACCAGAUCUCCGGUCCAUGU
rnacentral:lncRNA from 1 species